UUAGAAUUUUGCCACUUUGUUUUGUAACUCUUUUGCUUGAAUGUACUUACAGUGGGGAGCAAAACCGAGAACAUAUUUGCUUUCUUGAGGUAUUAGCAUUGAUUUUCAUGAUACAAUUUUUUCGAUAGGUUUUUUGAAAGUUUGAUGUUGACUCUUUAUUAUACUAGUAUUGAAUGGACUAUAAAACUGCAUACCCAAAAAUAUUAUAAAUGCUCUUAUUAAAGUCUUUGAAAUUUGUACGAAAAUUUUGUAAGUUGUCAUAAAUUUUGUAUACAGUUUUAAACUGUAAUUCAUAUGAUAUUUUUAAGAAGAUGAACUACAUUUUUAUAAAAAUCUAUCCAGAAAAUUGUAUCGUGAAAAAAAAUGCUAAUGUCUCAAAAAGGCAAACAUGCGUUCCUUUCUGCUCCCCAGUGUGCAUUUGAACAUUCACACAAACAUAUGUACUACAUAAUAACUAACUCGCUUUACUACUGAGCUCCGUUGUAAUUUUAAGAGUGCCAAAUUAAGUAGCAAGACACCAAGAAAUCACGUUUUAAUUCAUAAAGAAGGGUGUGAGUUUAACUAGCAAAAGGAAAACAUUAAUUGUGAACUAUUGUACUUGUCUAAAUGUCUGUUCAUGUUUUCGAAACCGAUUUUUCUGCAGACGACAGUAUUGAAGAUCUGGACUUUAAUACUACUGGAAGUAAACGAAAGAGUUCAUUAAGUGCGAAAUCAGGACCGGCCCUAAAAAAAGUCCGUGUGAAUUCACAAAAAAUUAUUUUCAAAGAAGAAUUUUACACAGAAGUGGAAAAAAUUUCCGACAAGACAACUUGUGCUAAGUGCGUUGCAUGUCAUCGAGUGAUUAGAGGAAGCGGUGAAGUGACUUCAAAUUUCAUCAAACAUUUGCAAGUCAAGCAUAGUGAAUGUUUUAAAACAUACAAAAGUUAUAAAACAGGUAGCCCUUUUGGCGGUAACAUGCAAUCUGAGUUCGAUGGUAAACUGUUACAUGCAAUGAUUGAUUGUUCAUUGCCCCUUUCCAUUCUGGAAAAAAAAUCCUUUAUAGAUCUUUUUCAAAGUACAGGUAUGAAGGUGAUGUGUCAGAAUGUUUUCAAUGCAAAUUUUUCAAAACGAAAUGUAAAUAUAAAAUGAUGAGCUUUCAAA